rnacentral:tRNA from 1 species
GCGCGGAUGGUGGAAUUGGUAGACACGCUACUUUGAGGGGGUAGUGGCAGCAAUGCCGUGGAGGUUCGAGUCCUCUUCCGCGCACCA